rnacentral:rRNA from 1 species
GAUGAACGCUGGCGGCGUGCCUAAUACAUGCAAGUCGAGCGAACAGACGAGGAGCUUGCUCCUCUGACGUUAGCGGCGGACGGGUGAGUAACACGUGGAUAACCUACCUAUAAGACUGGGAUAACUUCGGGAAACCGGAGCUAAUACCGGAUAAUAUAUUGAACCGCAUGGUUCAAUAGUGAAAGACGGUUUUGCUGUCACUUAUAGAUGGAUCCGCGCCGCAUUAGCUAGUUGGUAAGGUAACGGCUUACCAAGGCAACGAUGCGUAGCCGACCUGAGAGAGUGAUCGGCCACACUGGAACUGGGACACGGUCCAGACUACUACGGGAGGCAGCAGUAGGGAAUCUUCCGCAAUGGGCGAAAGCCUGACGGAGAAACGCCGCGUGAGUGAUGAAGGUCUUCGGAUCGUAAAACUCUGUUAUUAGGGAAGAACAAAUGUGUAAGUAACUAUGCACGUCUUGACGGUACCUAAUCAGAAAGCCACGGCUAACUACGUG